AGGACCCAAACAUUGUUGAAACUCUGACUUUGGAUUUCCUGAUCUUCAAUACAGUGCAAACUUAAUUUCUACUGCUUAAGCUACUGAAUCUUUGAUAUUUUGCUUUAGUAUCAGAAGAAAUCUGAGUGACAACCUCUUACCAUAAUGGCCAUAUGGGUGCUGUGAAAUAAGGAGGAGUUUUCUGGUGCCAAAGUGGGUCUCAUCAUUAAGGAUACCCAUUGUUGGCUGUUCUUUAAAAGAUCAUAAUGAAACUGCACACAUCUUCAAAGAAGGAGCAAGGUGAAGGGCCCGGAAGGCCUUUUUCCCCUUGGGAAAGGGUGGGUAGUUGAAUGCUACUAUGAAUCCAAAGUAAAUAAGCUCUGGGACAACCCACACAGCCUCAAUUGGAUCAGUCUCAUCUGAUCUUUUGAAGGAAAAAGAAAGGCUAUUAAAAAACAAGGUAGUAAUCUAAAAAGAACACAUAAGGAAUAUCGGUAGCCAUUUUUGGAGGAUUAGUUUAUUCAACUGCAUAUUUUUUUAAUCUAACUCAUAGGGCAAGAGAAUGAAUGUUAACUAUUUAUCCAGCACACUCGAUACACUUUUAAAAAGCACUCAUUAAAUCCUGCCUUCCCUUCCCAUCUCUACUUUUACUAUACAACUGUGUUAAUAAGCUUCCCAUCUGUCUUUGUUUCUUUUUCUGUUGCUGUGAUAAAAUAACAUGAUUAAAACAACUCAGAGGAAAAAAAGGUUUCUCCUUACUGUUCAAGGGUAUAGUCCAUCAUAGUGGAGAACUCAGCUUGGCAGGAGCUUAAAGGAGCUAAGUCACAUCACAGCCGCAAUCACGAAUGAAGGUGGAGACCAAGCUCCUCUGCUUGACUCUCUUUGCCUAGUAGUACAAUGCCAGAUUCCAGCCAGGAAUAGACUCACCCAAAGUGGAUGGGCAUUCACCCAGAGUCCCAUUUCCUGUGUGAUUCUAAGUUCUGCAAAGUUCACAAUUAAAGUUAAUCACUCUGUAAUCCACUUAAGACCAUACUUGAGAAAAUCAACUG
rnacentral:lncRNA from 1 species